rnacentral:tmRNA from 1 species
GGGGAUGAUAAGUUUCGACGGAGAAGAUCUUUUAAAAAUUGCAAGCCGACUUUAAUCAAAAGUCGUUAAACAGGGUUAAACAAAUAGUUGCAGAUAAUAAAAACUUUGCAUACGCUCCAGCUUACUGCUAGAGCUGUCCUUUAGGUUUUCUCUUAAGUGAAGCUUAAAAGGGCAUAAACAAAGCUUAAGAUGCAGUGCAUUUGACGGUCUUUUGGAUGUACUAAGACUAAUAAGACCUUUUUUCUAAUUUUUCUCGCUUUCAAGAUAAGAUUAGAAAGAAACAAAAUAUGAAAGACAAGCUUGUAGAAAUUUUUAAAUAAUUUUUUUCGGACGCCGGUUCAAUCCGGCCAUCUCCACCA